UGUGCUUUGAUCUGGAAUCUGCUGGAAACAACUCUGCCUGGGGCCUGGCAACCUGGAGAGGGUAGCAACUUCACUGCUUGUGAGCAACGUGCUUCUGGCCAAGUUAUGCAACCUCGUUGGGCCUACUUAUCUCAUUUGUGCAGUGGGAAAAAUUACAUACAACAAUUAUAUAAAUAUCUCAUGGGGUUGUUGUGAGGAUCCAACCAGAUAUUCUACAAAAUAGGCUUAGAGGACUGCCUGGUACAGAGUAAACAAUAAAUAUUAGUUCUCCUUUCUCCAGGGUGGCUUCUUGAUGAAUCUCAACUCUCCUGGCACAGAGAAGAUGGUAAUUAUAGCACACUUUACUAAGACUCUUCAGAAAUGUCAGCGCGUUGCCUGCCGUGGUUUGGUUGCAUGGCUGUUCACAGGAAAAAUACUGUGGGGAUGAAAGUUGAUAAGGACAGAGUGACUCAAAUGAUGUAGAGCCAAGCAGCCCCAGAAGCCUACCUGCCAAGAGCCAGAGUCGGUGCCUACCUGCAUCUUGUUGAUGAGGAAGUUGAUGUCCAGGAUCCCCGCCAAGGUUGGACACCCCUGGCCUGCCACGGAGCACAGGAGCAGGGCAGAGGUAAGGACCAUGGCCAGAAGCAUCUUGACAGCGGACUGGAGCUCGCUUGCAGACACCUUCAAAUCGAGUGGUAUUUAAAGCUCCCUCUCAAACACGGAAAAACCCUGACAUCAAACUGAUACCAAGAGCCCACUUUUUCUCUGUAAGUUGGGGCCACUUUAUACUAACAAACAAAAAAAUCAAACUGAGUCACUUGACAGAGAUGAUGCUGUGCCAGGAAAUAUCAUUCCUCAGAAAAGAUGAUUUUCAAAAAGUUGAGUACUGAAAUGCUGAAGGAAAAGUUAAAGAUCUAAAAACCAAGAAAAAAAAUUCAAAGACAGGGAUUCUGGUUGUGAGAGUUAGAAUACUUUCCAUG